CCUGCGGAGGGAUCAUUACCGAGUUUACAACUCCCAAACCCCUGUGAACAUACCAAUUGUUGCCUCGGCGGAUCAGCCCGCUCCCGGUAAAACGGGACGGCCCGCCAGAGGACCCCUAAACUCUGUUUCUAUAUGUAACUUCUGAGUAAAACCAUAAAUAAAUCAAAACUUUCAACAACGGAUCUCUUGGUUCUGGCAUCGAUGAAGAACGCAGCAAAAUGCGAUAAGUAAUGUGAAUUGCAGAAUUCAGUGAAUCAUCGAAUCUUUGAACGCACAUUGCGCCCGCCAGUAUUCUGGCGGGCAUGCCUGUUCGAGCGUCAUUUCAACCCUCAAGCCCCCGGGUUUGGUGUUGGGGAUCGGCGAGCCCUCGCGGCAAGCCGGCCCCGAAAUCUAGUGGCGGUCUCGCUGCAGCUUCCAUUGCGUAGUAGUAAAACCCUCGCAACUGGUACGCGGCGCGGCCAAGCCGUUAAACCCCCAACUUCUGAAUGUUGACCUCGGAUCAGGUAGGAAUACCACGCUGAACUUAAGCAUAUCAAUAGGCGGAGGAA
rnacentral:rRNA from 1 species